rnacentral:snRNA from 13 species
AGCUUUGUGCAGUGGCAGUAUCGUAGCCAAUGAAGUAUAUCCAAGUCAUAGUUAUUGCUAAUUGAAAAAAAAAUGUGAUACCUCAUUGUAGUUUUAAUUUGCAUUUCCCUGAUGAUUAGUAAUGUUGAGCUUUUUAUGUGUCUCUUGGCUACUGUAUGACUUCUUUGGAGAAAUGUCUAUU